ACAUGAUAAGCUAUCUGCUGAUCAGGGAGUCUCCUGUUUCUGCUUUGGAAUGAAAUAGUGCGGGGGGGGGAGUUCUAUCCCCCCCUUCCAUCAUUGUGUCCAAAAUCUUUAAAAAAAAAAUCUUAUUGGGUUUCUCAGAGACCUCUGGUAGCACUUUGAGCAGCAGCAAAACAAUAACACAAAACACAAAAAUUGUGCAUGUAGGAGUUAAAAGUAAGUCGUGGAGAGGAGAAGCAGGGAGGGUGGUUGGAGUUGCUAAGGCCUCUUGUGUAGUGGAAAUAUAUAUAUAUAUAUAUAUAUAUAUAUAUAUAUAUAUAUAUAUAUCAGAUAAUCCGAAAAGGAGAUACAGAGGGCACUUGGAGCCAUUCAUUGUUGUUGUUUGCUCUGCUUUCAUUCAGUUUGACUCGCUACUUCUCAGUUGUAUUAAGCAUGACCCAAACUAAAGGGACGAAAUGAAAUUAAACUUUUAUUACUUGAAGGAG